CACUGGGAAGCUAAAUAGGGCCUAGCAUUAGCCUUUUAAGCUGAAGAUUGGCGGCCCCCAACCGCCCCCUGUGA
rnacentral:tRNA from 1 species